AGUUAAGUGACUAAGCGUACAAGGUGGAUGCCUUGGCAAUCAGAGGCGAAGAAGGACGUGCUAAUCUGCGAAAAGCUUGGAUGAGUUGAUAAGAAGCGUUUAAUCCAAGAUAUCCGAAUGGGGAAACCCAGUGGGUGAAGAACCCACUAUCAACAGAUGAAUCCAUAGUCUGUUGAGGCAAACCGGGAGAACUGAAACAUCUAAGUACCCCGAGGAAAAGAAAUCAACCGAGAUUUCGUCAGUAGCGGCGAGCGAAAGCGAAAGAGCCUGUUAGUGAUAGCGACAAAGACAGAGGAACAUGCUGGGAAGUAUGGCGACACAGGGUGAUAGCCCCGUACUUAAAGUCUUUGUCGUGGUACUAAGCUAACGACAAGUAGGGCGGGACACGUGAUAUCCUGUCUGAAGAAGGGGGGACCAUCCUCCAAGGCUAAAUACUCCUGAUUGACCGAUAGUGAACCAGUACUGUGAAGGAAAGGCGAAAAGAACCCCGGCGAGGGGAGUGAAAUAGAACCUGAAACCUUGUACGUACAAGCAGUGGGAGCCUGAAAGGGUGACUGCGUACCUUUUGUAUAAUGGGUCAGCGACUUAUAUUUUGUAGCGAGGUUAACCGCAUAGGGGAGCCGAAGGGAAACCGAGUCUUAACUGGGCGAAUAGUUGCAAGGUAUAGACCCGAAACCCGGUGAUCUAGCCAUGGGCAGGUUGAAGGUUGGGUAACACUAACUGGAGGACCGAACCGACUAAUGUUGAAAAAUUAGCGGAUGACUUGUGGCUGGGGGUGAAAGGCCAAUCAAACCGGGAGAUAGCUGGUUCUCCCCGAAAUCUAUUUAGGUAGAGCCUUGAGCGGACACCUUUGGGGGUAGAGCACUGUUUCGGCUAGGGGGCCAUCCCGGCUUACCAACCCGAUGCAAACUCCGAAUACCAAAGAGUGAUACUCAGGAGACACACGGCGGGUGCUAACGUCCGUCGUGGAGAGGGAAACAACCCAGACCGCCAGCUAAGGUCCCAAAGUCUAUAUUAAGUGGGAAACGAAGUGGGAAGGCUUAGACAGCUAGGAUGUUGGCUUAGAAGCAGCCACCAUUUAAAGAAAGCGUAAUAGCUCACUAGUCGAGUCGGCCUGCGCGGAAGAUGUAACGGGGCUGAAAUAUAGCACCGAAGCUGCGGCAUCAGUAGUAAUACUGUUGGGUAGGGGAGCGUUGUGUAAGCGGAAGAAGGUGCAUUGAGAAGUGUGCUGGACGUAUCACAAGUGCGAAUGCUGACAUAAGUAACGAUAAAACGGGUGAAAAACCCGUUCGCCGGAAGACCAAGGUUUCCUGUCCAACGUUAAUCGGGGCAGGGUGAGUCGGCCCCUAAGGCGAGGCUGAAAAGCGUAGUCGAUGGGAAACGGGUUAAUAUUCCCGUACUUGGAUAAACUGCGAUGUGGGGACGGAGCAGGUUAGGUUAGCGUACGGUUGGAAAUGUACGUUUAAGCCGGUAGUUGGGAUAGGUAGGCAAAUCCGCUUAUCCAUAGAAACAACGAGAGGUGAUGACGAAGUUCUACGGAACGGAAGUAACCGAUACCACACUUCCAGGAAAAGCCACUAAGCUUCAGGUUUAUCUAAACCGUACUGAAAACCGACACAGGUGGUCAGGUAGAGAAUACUCAGGCGCUUGAGAGAACUCGGGUGAAGGAACUAGGCAAAAUAGCACCGUAACUUCGGGAGAAGGUGCGCCGGCUUAACUUGUAACUCCUUGCGGGUGAAGGGUGAACCGGUCGAAGUGACCCGCUGGCUGCAACUGUUUAUUAAAAACACAGCACUCUGCAAACACGAAAGUGGACGUAUAGGGUGUGAUGCCUGCCCGGUGCUGGAAGGUUAAUUGAUGGUGUUAUCGCAAGAGAAGCACCUGAUCGAAGCCCCAGUAAACGGCGGCCGUAACUAUAACGGUCCUAAGGUAGCGAAAUUCCUUGUCGGGUAAGUUCCGACCUGCACGAAUGGCAUAAUGAUGGCCAGGCUGUCUCCACCCGAGACUCAGUGAAAUUGAAAUCGCCGUGAAGAUGCGGUGUACCCGCGGCUAGACGGAAAGACCCCGUGAACCUUUACUAUAGCUUGACACUGAACAUUGAAUUUUGAUGUGUAGGAUAGGUGGGAGCCAAUGAAGCAGUCACGCCAGUGAUUGUGGAGGCGUCCUUGAAAUACCACCCUUUAACGUUUGAUGUUCUAACGAAGAUUGCGGAACGCGGUCUCGGACAGUGUCUGGUGGGUAGUUUGACUGGGGCGGUCUCCUCCCAAAGCGUAACGGAGGAGCACGAAGGUUUGCUAAUCACGGUCGGACAUCGUGAGGUUAGUGCAAUGGUAUAAGCAAGCUUAACUGCGAGACAGACAAGUCGAGCAGGUACGAAAGUAGGUCAUAGUGAUCCGGUGGUUCUGAAUGGAAGGGCCAUCGCUCAACGGAUAAAAGGUACUCCGGGGAUAACAGGCUGAUACCGCCCAAGAGUUCAUAUCGACGGCGGUGUUUGGCACCUCGAUGUCGGCUCAUCACAUCCUGGGGCUGAAGUAGGUCCCAAGGGUAUGGCUGUUCGCCAUUUAAAGUGGUACGCGAGCUGGGUUUAGAACGUCGUGAGACAGUUCGGUCCCUAUCUGCCGUGGGCGUAGGAUAAUUGGUUGGGGCUGCUCCUAGUACGAGAGGACCGGAGUGGACGCACCACUGGUGUUCCGGUUGUGUCGCCAGACGCAUUGCCGGGUAGCUAAGUGCGGAAGAGAUAAGUGCUGAAAGCAUCUAAGCACGAAACUUGCCAAGAGAUGAGUUAUCCCAAUCUAUAAGGUUGUAAGGGUUGUUUGAGACGAAGACGUAGAUAGGCAUGGUGUGUAAGUGUAGUGAUACAUUGAGCUAACAUGUACUAAUUGCCCGAGAGGCUUAACUAU
rfam:Rodentibacter myodis strain Ac151 contig_29, whole genome shotgun sequence.